rnacentral:rRNA from 1 species
GGGCUCGUAGGCGGUUCGUCGCGUCCGGUGUGAAAGUCCAUCGCUUAACGGUGGAUCCGCGCCGGGUACGGGCGGGCUUGAGUGCGGUAGGGGAGACUGGAAUUCCCGGUGUAACGGUGGAAUGUGUAGAUAUCGGGAAGAACACCAAUGGCGAAGGCAGGUCUCUGGGCCGUCACUGACGCUGAGGAGCGAAAGCGUGGGGAGCGAACAGGAUUAGAUACCCUGGUAGUCCACGCCGUAAACGGUGGAUGCUGGAUGUGGGGACCAUUCCACGGUCUCCGUGUCGGAGCCAACGCGUUAAGCAUCCCGCCUGGGGAGUACGGCCGCAAGGCUAAAACUCAAAGAAAUUGACGGGGGCCCGCACAAGCGGCGGAGCAUGCGGAUUAAUUCGAUGCAACGCGAAGAACCUUACCUGGGCUUGACAUGUUCCCGACAGCCCCAGAGAUGGGGCCUCCCUUCGGGGCGGGUUCACAGGUGGUGCAUGGUCGUCGUCAGCUCGUGUCGUGAGAUGUUGGGUUAAGUCCCGCAACGAGCGCAACCCUCGCCCUGUGUUGCCAGCACGUCGUGGUGGGAACUCACGGGGGACCGCCGGGGUCAACUCGGAGGAAGGUGGGGAUGACGUCAGAUCAUCAUGCCCCUUACGUCCAGGGCUUCACGCAUGCUACAAUGGCCGGUACAACGGGAUGCGACCUCGUGAGGGGGAGCGGAUCCCUUAAAACCGGUCUCAGUUCGGAUUGGAGUCUGCAACCCGACUCCAUGAAGGCGGAGUCGCUAGUAAUCGCGGAUCAGCAACGCCGCGGUGAAUGCGUUCCCGGGCCUUGUACACACCGCCCGUCAAGUCAUGAAAGUGGGUAGCACCCGAAGCCGGUGGCCCAACCUUUUGGGGGGAGCCGUCUAAGGUGAGACUCGUGAUUGGGACUAAGUCGUAACAAGGUAGCCGUACCGGAAGGUGCGGCUG